rnacentral:rRNA from 1 species
UAAUACGUAGGGUGCAAGCGUUGUCCGGAAUUACUGGGCGUAAAGAGUUCGUAGGCGGUUUGUCGCGUCGUUUGUGAAAACCAGCAGCUCAACUGCUGGCUUGCAGGCGAUACGGGCAGACUUGAGUACUGCAGGGGAGACUGGAAUUCCUGGUGUAGCGGUGAAAUGCGCAGAUAUCAGGAGGAACACCGGUGGCGAAGGCGGGUCUCUGGGCAGUAACUGACGCUGAGGAACGAAAGCGUGGGUAGCGAACAGG